AGGACAGUUUGCCCGCUGUCAGAAGUAUUGUGAGUACUACAAGUUUGGUAGCUAACUAAAUCGCUCUGUCGUCUUACCCUUUGAGAGAUUCUUGUGGAGCAGUUUGCUCAUUGAACCGGUUGCUUGCCACUUUUAUAACGGUUACUGCGUUUAACCUUUGGAAGGUUAGUGAAGUCGUAUUUGUCGUUGCUGAACAUUGAUAUAUUUAUUAUACGUUGGUCUAGACCAUAUCUAGACUUGUUAAUAGUGAAGUAGUGGAAACAGCUACAUCCACUUAAUUUUGUUGAAAACCGUUAAUCGUAUAACGGAACGUCGUCGGAGGUGACCUUGGUCUCACCUAGUCUACAUUGGACAUUACGGACAUUUUGGUCUAGUGAAGCAGCAUACAACAGCAAACUUCGUCGUACUACCAGAGUAGCAGCAGAAGCAGUGAACUAUUUUAGAGAACCGUUAUUCGUCAGCCCAGAUCAAGUCAUCGUCAAGAAAGUCGUUAUUCGUCCGCCCAGAUCAAGUCAUCGUCAAGAAAUUCGUUAUUCGUCAGUCGUUCAGAUCAAGUUGCCGUCAAGAGACUUAUUUGUCAGUAGUCGUCUAUGCAAAUCAAGUCGUCGCCAGGAGAACCGUUAACCUAUUCGUCAGUAACUGUGUACACAAAGUCGUCGGAACUACACAUACGGUCAUCAACAGUCGUCGAAGAAACUGAAACAUUUUGCUGUGGCAUAUCAAGACAUCUGGGGCAUUACGUGGGAUACUCGACACGGAUUGUAUCCACUGGUAGCACCGGAGAACAGAGUCAGAACUGGAAGAGAAGCAGUGGAAUUUGUUGUAGACUAGAUUUAUCAUAUUCGAGAAUCCGAACAAAGGGGAUCUUUCUUAUCAAAAGCUAAGUGCCAUUUUUCUUAUUAGUAUAUGUUUAGAUUGCCCUUAGAAAUAGAUUUUGUCUAAAUUUGGUACGUUAGCCUGAGUAAAAUCAGCCUUAAAACCCGUAGGGGUAAAAGACGUAAUUUAGAUGAAAAGCUAUAUUAUACGUUUAGGAUAGUGAUUGAUUUGUUUGUAUAAACGUCAUAUCCGUUGUUGCUUGGUUACUUCGUGACGUUAUUAAUGUGUGCCAUAUUGUCAUAUCCCAACCCAUAGCGAUAGUCUCAUUUAAUUAUUUCAUUUGUGUAUAUUAUUUUAUAUUAUUUAGUUUUAUUAAUUUAAUUAGAUCUGUAUUUUUUUUCACUUAAUGAUAGAAAGUACAGGUAGGAUUCUUUUAUUGUGAAUCAGACUAAAAUACAUUUUAGUUUGAGCGGUUAAAAUCAAACGACAAAUAUGAUUUUGCCAUGAGAAUAAUGCCGAAACUGGCAUAGUAAUAGUAGUCAAACAUUGUCGUCUGCCUAAUUUUAGAUUCACAAAUUUUUGUACAUUUCAUUUGUACAUCUACUGAUCUAGACUCUAAUUUUGAAUAUUAAUUGGAAAGAUGAAUGAACUUUUUUAUGAAGAUUACUGCCAGUGGAGAACAUUUGUGAGAAGUGUAUGACUUGCCCAUGAGAUGCCACAUUGCUAUGAUGAACUGUUACUGUUUACCAUAGAAGACGCAUAUUGAACGGGACUAGUGACGUUUGGGAUAUGUUGGGUUAGAGACCGGAAAAUCAGUUAGCGAUAUAAUCCUCCAGGGUAACGACGUGUUUAGUGACAGAGACUUUUACUGUGGCCUUUUCUUAGAAUAAAUACAUGUUACAUUGUU